GACUUGCAGAAGUUAAGCUCAGAUUGGCCCUGGAUAAAGGAAGAGGCAAAAUGAAGAUCUUCAGCUUCCCUCAGCACCAAAGUACAAAGUGUUACUGGGAAGAUCCACCAGCAGUCAGCAUCACCUCUGUGCAGCCCUUUUAGGGCUGUAUCCAUGACAAGCAAAGCCCCAGGGGUCAGAUUCAGCCUCCUCUGUGCUCCCCAGACAGCCUCUGGAAGACAGAGUGAAAAAGAUUAACUAGAAACAGAAACUGAUGAACGUGUGCUUGCAUAAAUGCAAAACAAGACAUGGUUUGGCUGCUGGAAAUUUAUGGUGAUAAUGAAGAAGUCAAGGAGAAUUCAGCUUGGAUUUCAAGAACAUCAGAAGUCUGCUGAGCUGGCAGGUGGACAAAUAUGCCUUGUAAACUCAACAAAAUUCCAUAAAAGCUGCUGUUACAUAG